CGGAAGGCCCUUCGGGGUACUCGAGCGGCGAACGGGUGAGUAACACGUGAGCAACCUGCCCCUGACUCUGGGAUAAGCCCGGGAAACUGGGUCUAAUACCGGAUAUGACCACUCCAGGCAUCUGGUGGUGGUGGAAAGUUUUUCGGUCGGGGAUGGGCUCGCGGCCUAUCAGCUUGUUGGUGGGGUAGUGGCCUACCAAGGCGACGACGGGUAGCCGGCCUGAGAGGGCGACCGGCCACACUGGGACUGAGACACGGCCCAGACUCCUACGGGAGGCAGCAGUGGGGAAUAUUGCGCAAUGGGCGGAAGCCUGACGCAGCGACGCCGCGUGGGGGAUGACGGCCUUCGGGUUGUAAACCUCUUUCAGCAGGGACGAAGUUGACGUGUACCUGCAGAAGAAGCGCCGGCUAACUACGUGCCAGCAGCCGCGGUAAUACGUAGGGCGCAAGCGUUGUCCGGAAUUAUUGGGCGUAAAGAGCUCGUAGGUGGCUGGUCGCGUCUGCCGUGAAAGCCCGCAGCUUAACUGCGGGUCUGCGGUGGAUACGGGCCGGCUAGAGGUAGGUAGGGGCAAGUGGAAUUCCUGGUGUAGCGGUGAAAUGCGCAGAUAUCAGGAGGAACACCGGUGGCGAAGGCGGCUUGCUGGGCCUUACCUGACGCUGAGGAGCGAAAGCGUGGGGAGCGAACAGGAUUAGAUACCCUGGUAGUCCACGCUGUAAACGUUGGGCGCUAGGUGUGGGACCCUUCCACGGGUUCCGUGCCGGAGCUAACGCAUUAAGCGCCCCGCCUGGGGAGUACGGCC
rnacentral:rRNA from 1 species